rnacentral:rRNA from 1 species
UACGAAGGGUGCAAGCGUUACUCGGAAUUACUGGGCGUAAAGCGUGCGUAGGUGGUUCGUUAAGUCUGAUGUGAAAGCCCUGGGCUCAACCUGGGAAUUGCAUUGGAUACUGGCGGGCUAGAGUGCGGUAGAGGAUGGCGGAAUUCCCGGUGUAGCAGUGAAAUGCGUAGAGAUCGGGAGGAACAUCCGUGGCGAAGGCAGCCUUCUGGGCCAACACUGACGCUCAUGCACGAAAGCGUGGGGAGCAAACAGG